CUCGAGGUCACUUAGUGCAUUUCAAGUAUUGAGCAUGGUGUCCAAAACCUUCGAACGGGCGUAUCUUGUGACAGUUUGGCACUCUUGUUUAAAACUGACGAUGCAUGAAACUAUUUUCACUCAUAUUUUUUUAUGUAAUUUAAAUGCCAAAAUUUAGAAAAUGCAUAUGAAUGGGAAACGAAACUGUAAGUAAGUAAAUAGUGUUACAGUUACUGUACAAACAACCCAUUUUUCAAAAGAAGCGUUUUUUUUUUGUAAACUGUACUGAUGGUUUUGCUAGUUAUGCCAUAGGUUGUUAAUAACUCGCGUUUGUUCAGCUAAUUUCAUUAUUUCUUUUAUAGCCAUUAUUGUGUUAUCAUGGUCAUUGAUUUGAACAAAAACAAACUGUUAUUUUUACAGCAUCCAGUAAAAAUACCCAUAUUGUAAAUCUCACGGGUACUACUGCUCUAAUGUUUGAUCAAGAAUGCAUCUAAUGGAUAAUCAAACUAGUGGUUUCACUCAAUUGAUUUUUGCAUAUAUAGGUAGGAGUACCUAGAGAUUGAGCUGGAGACAGUGAAGGUGCUGACCUCUGUGUGGAACACUUAGAAGCUGACAAGUUUUCAUAUUGAAGGGCAUGGUUCCCAACCGCCCAUCACACACAGAAUGAAGCUUGUCGUCUUCCGCAGUAAAAACUGUACCAUUUUAAAAUGGAGGGGAUGGUGUUGGAGAUGCUUCGGAGACUAAAGGGCAACAUGGCUUGCAAGAACUUCACCAUAAUAUCCUGAAGAGGAACAUGAGCUUGUCCAGGACCACUUCGCAAGCAAUGACCCACAAGUACUGAACAUUGCUAGAACUACUCUGUGGGUAUGUUGCUGGGUGCUGGAAGAUGCUUACUGCUAUAUUGACUGCUUCCAAGCGCUUCCUGGACCUAAAAAUUAUCUCCCAGCAGCAACCUCCCCAAGGUGUGACGAGAGUCUUCAAGACUUGGAGAUCUCGCUAACUAUCAUUAGGGGACUGUACAGGGCAAGUUGCAUAACUUUGGUUGGCC